rnacentral:lncRNA from 1 species
AACAGCAAUCAAAAGAUUCAAAACUGCCUUAAAAACACUUUAUGGGCAGUUUUGAACACAAAGCAUCAAAUUGGACGAAUUUGGGUUUUAACUUGUACCAAAACACUUAAAAACAUAAACCAACACACUUUCCAAUUAAUCUAGGAAUUCAAAAUAAUUGGGGAUUUGAUUUGGACAAAAAUAAACUUAAAUGGCAGAUUGUAAGAGAAACAGAUUGUAAUACAAAGUUAUGAAGAAUCAAUGGAUGAUGGAAUGGCUAAGGGGGUCUUCUCCACACAUGAAAUAUAUGCAACCUAAAUCGAUUUCCAGUUAUCAAUUGAAUAAGUUAUGAACCUCGACACUCCAAGUUAAUUAGAUCCGCUUAAAUUAACCUUCAGAUUUCCCUAGAAUCAUUGAAUUGGAUGA